CGGCCGAGUAGCCGAGGUCGGAGAGGACGCGGUUCGUGUCCGCGCCCAGGAGCGGGGCCGACCGGGGUUCGGCUUCCGGUGGGCCGCC
rnacentral:tRNA from 1 species